GCUUAACAUGCAAGUCGAACGGCAGCGCGAGAGAGCUUGCUCUCUUGGCGGCGAGUGGCGGACGGGUGAGUAAUAUAUCGGAACGUGCCCAGUAGCGGGGGAUAACUACUCGAAAGAGUGGCUAAUACCGCAUACGCCCUACGGGGGAAAGGGGGGGAUCGCAAGACCUCUCACUAUUGGAGCGGCCGAUAUCGGAUUAGCUAGUUGGUGGGGUAAAGGCUCACCAAGGCAACGAUCCGUAGCUGGUUUGAGAGGACGACCAGCCACACUGGGACUGAGACACGGCCCAGACUCCUACGGGAGGCAGCAGUGGGGAAUUUUGGACAAUGGGGGAAACCCUGAUCCAGCCAUCCCGCGUGUAUGAUGAAGGCCUUCGGGUUGUAAAGUACUUUUGGCAGAGAAGAAAAGGUAUCUCCUAAUACGAGAUACUGCUGACGGUAUCUGCAGAAUAAGCACCGGCUAACUACGUGCCAGCAGCCGCGGUAAUACGUAGGGUGCAAGCGUUAAUCGGAAUUACUGGGCGUAAAGCGUGUGUAGGCGGUUCGGAAAGAAAGAUGUGAAAUCCCAGGGCUCAACCUUGGAACUGCAUUUUUAACUGCCGAGCUAGAGUAUGUCAGAGGGGGGUAGAAUUCCACGUGUAGCAGUGAAAUGCGUAGAUAUGUGGAGGAAUACCGAUGGCGAAGGCAGCCCCCUGGGAUAAUACUGACGCUCAGACACGAAAGCGUGGGGAGCAAACAGGAUUAGAUACCCUGGUAGUCCACGCCCUAAACGAUGUCAACUAGCUGUUGGGGCCGUUAGGCCUUAGUAGCGCAGCUAACGCGUGAAGUUGACCGCCUGGGGAGUACGGUCGCAAGAUUAAAAACUCAAAGGAAUUGACGGGGACCCCCACAAGCGGUGGAUGAUGUGGAUUAAUUCGAUGCAACCCGAAAAACCUUACCUACCCUUGACAUGUCUGGAAAGCCCAAAAAAUUUUGGCCGUGCUCCCAAAAAAACCGGAACACAGGGUGCUGCAUGGCUUUUCCUCCCCCUCCUGUCCGGAAAAUUUUGGGUUAAAUCCCCCAACCAAGCCCAACCCCUUUUCUUUAUUUGCUUCCCAAAACCCCCUUAAAUGAAACUGCCGGGUGAAAAACCGAAAA
rnacentral:rRNA from 1 species